AUUGAACGCUGGCGGCAGGCCUAACACAUGCAAGUCGAACGAGAGGCGGACGGGUGAGUAAUGUCUGGGAAACUGCCUGAUGGAUGGGGAUCACUACUGGACACUGUAGCUACUAACGCAUUCCAUCGGCUGUGCCCCAGUGGGAUUAGCUAGUGGGUGGGGUAAAGGCGCACCUAGGCGAUGAUCCCUAGCUGGUCUGAGAGGAUGACCAGCCAAACUGGAACUGAGACACGGUCCAGACGCCUACGGGAGGCAGCAGUGGGGAAUAUUGCACAAUGGGCGCAAGCCUGAUGCAGCCAUGCCGCGUGUAUGAAGAAGGCCUUCGGGUUGUAAAGUACUUUAAGCGGGGAGGCGUUACCCGCAGAAGAAGCACCGGCUAACUCCGUGCCAGCAGCCGCGGUAAUUC
rnacentral:rRNA from 1 species